UGGGGCGUGGCCAAGCGGUAAGGCACGGGGUUUUGAUCCCCGCAUUCGCAGGUUCGAAUCCUGCCGCCCCAGCCA
rnacentral:tRNA from 2 species